GGACAGGUGAGUCAUCGAAUCUUUGAACGCACAUUGCGCCCUUUGGCAUUCCGAAGGGCAUACCUGUUCGAGCGUCAUUGCACCUCUCAAGCACAGCUUGGUGAUGGGCGCCUGUCCUCCGCGCUCUGCGGCGGGACUCGCCUGAAAAGCAUCGGCGUCCGGCGGCUGGUCUUGCGCGUAGCAGAUUGUUCGCACAAGGGCCGGUCCGCAGGGCUGCCGCACACGUCAAUUGCAUCUCCGUUUUUGACCUCGGAUCAGGUAGGGAUACCCGCUGAACUUAAGCAUAUCAAUAAGCGGAGG
rnacentral:misc_RNA from 1 species